CUUAUUAAAAUAUGGAAUACUUGAAGUUAAUAGAAGAUUUAACACAAAACUAGAUACAAUUAUAACGUUUUAAGAUUCAUACACUUAACCAUAUUUAAUAGCCUAAAGUUUUAUUGUCGUUGUCAUCUUAUCAGCAGCAACUGGCAAGCUUUAUUUAUAUAGCCAAUAGGCAUAUGACAUCACCAGGUGACAACUGAAGGCAUAGAAUUAUGUAGAACCAUCAUCACAUGUUAUGCAAAACUAUAUUAUAUACAUGUAGCAUAAAGAAAAGUUAAAGUAUAUUAUAUAAUAUGAUAAUCAGGUGAUGGUGAUGAUCAGCCUCUUAAUCACAAUAAGUUAAGACUGGCUUAAUUAUAAACUAGUGAGCAAUCUUUAUCAGUAAAACGUGGAUUAACCAAUUAGGGAUUAAUUAGUAUAAUACUGCAGUGUUCACACGAUUACAUAUGCAGCAUAUUUGGUUCGUAUGAUUAUAUAUAAACAGUUAAAAUAUCAUUUAAACCUACUUCUUAUCUUGAUUAGUCAGUGUUUUACACCUACUUAAUAUUGUACUAAGUCCUGAGGAAUACAUGGAUACAUAAUUACACACACGCAUACAUAUAUGUAUGAACUGGAAGAUGGUUAACUUUUGCUUUCAUAUAUAAGUAGGUCAACUUUGGCCGGAUUUCUUUAAGGAUCGAAGACCUAGCUACUAUUAUUACUUAUUAUAAAAUGUAAUUAUCAGCGAGGUUAACACUUUAUCUUUCCUCGUAGUUCUGCCUAAUUCAUAUUCACCAUUUAUUGACAGUUGAAUAUUCAUACUAAGGUUGUUAAAGAGUCACAAGACGUUAAGAACAGACGUGUUGAGAAAUCAUAAUUUCUACUUAACUUUCUCCAGCUUUUGUUCCAUUAUUUACAAGGUUGAGUGUUUUAGACUUAAAAUUUUAGGAUUCUGGUACCAGAUUGGUUAACCACUUCAUGUUUAGGUUUUAAGUUUCAGAUUUUGAACUAUCGAAGUUCUAAAAGCAGUGAUACUAUACUUAUAUCAAAACUGUAAAUAAAUAAGAUCGACGUUGAAAAACUAGAUUUCGGCAAUAUCUAUUGAUGCAGGCUAAGGACUAAAGACGUUAUUACAUAAAAUUACUGGUAGCUGGAAUUUACGUUUUAUAAUAUAAUACAUGCAUUUUUAGAGUUAUAAUGCAUGUAUCUAGGUUUAAAUUUGUGGCCUAUGAAAUUCCUAGGUUAAUGACAUUUUAUGAAAUCAUUUAGUUUUUUAGGAGUUAUAUUGUAAGCCUUUAUUUUUUAUAUGUCUUUUCAUAUUUUUCACUUUAAGUUGUAAGCCUAUAAAUACUUGUAUUUGUAAAGAAGAAGGGGAGAAGUUGUUUGAAUUAUCAUAUUGAUAUUUGAGCUGUAAACUCGUUUUUAUGUGUCUUUCUCUUUGUAAAAGUUUGCUGCUUUGUUCAUUCUAGUGUCUACGUUGUAGGCUGGUACUAGAACCAAAGUUUAUAGGGUUUUCAGGCCUCCCCUCACACUAGGAGAUAGUGGACCCUACCUAUCCAUUAUAUCUAUCAUUUUAAUUCAUUUCUGUUUGUUGUAUCCUACAUCAUUUGGUAUCAGAGCGUCAGCUCGAUCCAAGGGUGACGUUAUAUUCAGCAUGUCGUAGAUGCUAGUAGAUGAAGAUCUUAAUCUGGACCUUCCUCCAAUAUUUGAUCAUUGCUUGGAUAGUUCAUCUCCAAUAUGUUGUGAAAAUAAUUCAGGUGAUUGUCUCAUAAAUCUUGAUCUUCCUCCCGAGUUUGAUCGUUCUCCAUAUGCUACUUAUCACGUUUGUUGUCAAAGUACUUGUGUGGUUCAACGAAAUGUUGAUAUGGAAUCUUGUCUAAUUAUUAAAAAUGCUGAUUACAAAGAAUUUUUGAAGUUGGAGUUUCAUGAUUUAAUGAGUUCAUUGGAAACUUCUAGAUAUGUUGAUUUAAUUGGGGUUGAUGUCUUCUAUUUCAGAAUUUCCAAAGUUUUGGUUGACAUUAUAAAUCAAAUGAAAGAGAAUUACAAGGUUGCGAGGUAUGCUAUUAAGGGUGCUUUUCACACUUCAACAGUCAAUAUUAAAUGCUCCAAAUAUCUAUUUGUUUGGACUGGUAGAGUUCAAUUAUAUCGCUUCAAAUCAGAUGAUGAUCCAAAUUCGAGGACGAAUUCUCUCCAACCCCACGAGAAUGAUGCAAACCAAGGACUAAAGGCGUUAUUACAUAAAUUACUGGCAACUGGGAUUUAAGUUUUAUAAUAAAUAUAAUACAUGCAUUUUUAGAGUUAUAAUGUAUGUAUCUAGCUUUAAAUUUGUGGCUUAUGGAAUUCCUAGGUUAAUGAUAUUUUAUGAAAUCAUUUAGUUUUUUAGGACUUAUAUUGUAAGCCUUUAUUUUUUUUAUGUCUUUUCAUAUUUUUCACUUUAAGUUGUAAGCCUAUAAAUACUUGUAUUUGUAAAGAAGAAGGGGAGAAGUUGUUUGAAUUAUCAUAUUGAUAUUUGAGUUGUAAACUGGUUUUUAUGUGACUUUCUCUUUGUAAGAGUCUGCUGCUUUGUUCUUUCAAGUGUUUACGUUGUAGGUUGGUACUAGGAUCAAAGUUUAUAGAGUUUUCAGGCCUCUCCUCGCACUAGGAGUUAGUGAACCCUACCUAUAUCAUUUUAAAUCGUUUCUGUCCGCUGCACCCUGCAUCAUCCAUCCUUUUAACUUUUUGAGGGGUGGACGUUUAGAAUCUUAAGUCUCCGCAUAGUAUAUCACUGUAACAGCUUUGGUUUGAAAUCUCAUCAAAUGAGUUUGAGUAAUUAAGCAAGAAAAAAAAAGAAGUGAAGAGAUGCAUUUCACAUUUUAAAGCCUCACUUUCAGCUUUCAACCUUGACAUCCAAGAUCUGACUUUAACCACUACCAAUAGAUAAAAAUAUAAAAUGAUGUGUAAAACUUUCACCUCUAGAUUUUAUUUUAAUGCCUUAACUUUCACCUCUAGAUUUUAUUUUAAUGCCUUGGAUUUUACCAUCUCAACUAGAUUGAUUUCAUUUUCAUGACAUCUUUAAGAGGACACAAGGUUGGAGAGAUUCUGUAUUGCAACCAAGACAAUCUUAAUGACGUCGCCCAUUCACUAGAUGUUUGUCACAUGUUCUAAAAGUAAAUCACUCAUUCAACAAAGGCUUGUCACGUGGUGAAUUAAUGACAAAAUAAUCUCUCCCCAGCCAUUAAUUGUAUACUCUUUUAUGAAUCCAUAGAAUUUCCCUACCUAAAAAGACAAUCUCUCUCCAGCCCUAGUGUUGUAGAAAAUACAAAUCAUAUAGUUUUUAUGCAUUUUCCAAUCAAAUUUGCGAAAGAAAACACAAC
rnacentral:lncRNA from 1 species